rnacentral:rRNA from 1 species
AACGAACGCUGGCGGCAGGCCUAACACAUGCAAGUCGAACGCCGUAGCAAUACGGAGUGGCAGACGGGUGAGUAACACGUGGGAACGUACCUUUCGGUUCGGAAUAACUCAGGGAAACUUGAGCUAAUACCGGAUACGUGCGAGAGCAGAAAGAUUUAUCGCCGAAAGAUCGGCCCGCGUCCGAUUAGCUUGUUGGUGAGGUAACGGCUCACCAAGGCGACGAUCGGUAGCUGGUCUGAGAGGAUGAUCAGCCACACUGGGACUGAGACACGGCCCAGACUCCUACGGGAGGCAGCAGUGGGGAAUAUUGGACAAUGGGCGCAAGCCUGAUCCAGCCAUGCCGCGUGAGUGAUGACGGCCUUAGGGUUGUAAAGCUCUUUCGCCAGAGACGAUAAUGACGGUACCUGGAUAAGAAGCCCCGGCUAACUUCGUGCCAGCAGCCGCGGUAAGGUGCGCGAGU